UACGAAGGGUGCAAGCGUUAUUCGGAAUCAUUGGGCGUAAAGGGUGCGUAGACGGUAUGUUAAGUCUGUUGUUAAAUCUUCCGGCCUAACCGGAAAUCUGCAGUAGAUACUGAUGUGCUAGAGGAUGGAAGAGAGAAGUGGAAUUCUCGGAGUAGCGGUAAAAUGCGUAGAUCUCGAGGGGAACACCAAUGGCGAAGGCAGCUUCUUGGUCCAUAUCUGACGUUGAGGCACGAAAGCGUGGGGAGCAAACAGG
rnacentral:rRNA from 1 species